GUGGGGAAUCUUAGACAAUGGGCGCAAGCCUGAUCUAGCCAUGCCGCGUGAGCGAUGAAGGCCUUAGGGUUGUAAAGCUCUUUCAGGGGGGAAGAUAAUGACGGUACCCCCAGAAGAAGCCCCGGCUAACUCCGUGCCAGCAGCCGCGGUAAUACGGAGGGGGCUAGCGUUGUUCGGAAUUACUGGGCGUAAAGCGCACGUAGGCGGACCAGAAAGUCAGGGGUGAAAUCCCGGGGCUCAACCCCGGAACUGCCUUUGGAACUCCUGGUCUUGAGGUCGAGAGAGGUGAGUGGAAUUCCGAGUGUAGAGGUGAAAUUCGUAGAUAUUCGGAGGAACACCAGUGGCGAAGGCGGCUCACUGGCUCGAUACUGACGCUGAGGUGCGAAAGCGUGGGGAGCAAACAGGAUUAGAAACCCCGGUAGUCC
rnacentral:rRNA from 1 species